CUCCACCUUCUUGGCUGAGAUCAUCAAAACUGACAAUCUCAGCGAAUCUAGUAUUUUCCAACAGGAAAGCACUGGAAUGCAAUUGUACAUGCGUAGCAAAAUUAGCAUCUCCUCAUAGAGAAGUGUUGAAUAAAUUAGCAUCUCCUCAUGGUGAAGUGUUGAACGUUCCAUGAGGAACGUUCAGCGCAUCCACGCAGAGCAAACGUCAGUGCUGCACAUUGUGGCACCUCUAGUGGCGAUCUGAAAAGGCAGUGUUUACAUUGCCUGCAGGGACAUGGUAUAGACACCAGAACAACUACAUUAAGCUGUAGUUGUUCUGGUGACUAUAGU